rnacentral:tRNA from 1 species
GUUCUCCUAGUUUAAUGGAGAGAAUAUGUCGCUACGAACGACAGGGUCGGGGUUCAAUUCCCUGGGAGAACACCA